rnacentral:rRNA from 1 species
CAGCAGCCGCGGUAAUACGAAGGGGGCUAGCGUUGCUCGGAAUGACUGGGCUUAAAGCGCGUGUAGGCGGGUCGGCACGUCGGUCGCUGAAAUCCCCCGGCUCAACCGGGGAAGUGGCGCCGAUACGGCCGGCCUGGAUGGGGGUAGGGGGGCCUGGAACUUCCGGUGGAGCGGUGAAAUGCGUUGAGAUCGGAAGGAACGCCCGUGGCGAAAGCGAGGCCCUGGACCCUUUCUGACGCUGAGACGCGAAAGCCAGGGGAGCGAACGGGAUUAGAUACCCCUGUAGUCCCUGUCUCUUAUA